ensembl:lncRNA
UUUUUUUUUUUUUUUUUUUUUUUUUUUGGUCUUUUUGCCUUUUCUAGGGCCGCUCCCAAGGCAUAGGGAGGUUCCCAGGCUAAGAGUCUAAUCAGAGCCACAGCAACGCGUGAUCCGAGCCAUGUCUGCAACCUAAACCACAGCUCAAGGCAACACCAGAUCCUUAACCCACUGAGCAAGGCCAGGGAUCGAACCCACAACCUCAUGGUUCCUAGUUGGAUUCAUUAGCCACUGAGCCAUGACGGGAACUCCAACAGUACCUGCUCUUUAGCUAGUACCGACUUCUUUAAGAAGUCUCAUGAAAUAACUGAAAAGGCAGCGCAAACUAGGCAGCUGUUCCCACGCUAAUAUGAGCACUUGGGAGUGCACUAUUUGGGGGUGGCAUCCCCAAUAAGGAGAAAAGCAUUUUCAAAAGAGGCCAAUAAACUCGAAGUGCUGAAACCCUCCUGAAAAGCCUAUGGAAACAGAACGUAAUUUGACUGUUCACAAAGAGCACGAGGGCUGGUCUGAUUGUCUUGGAGCAAAACACCAAGGGGGCGAGCGGGCGGGGAGGGGGACGCACUCAUCACUCAGAACAUACAGGAUUUGGUCUGGGAAAGAAGCAAAGGCCUGUGGAUGACUGACCUCAAUCUCGAGCCCUAGUUCCUGAAAACUUCCCCUUACAUGUGCGUUCCUCGAGGUCAAGGGUCAAGAGCACUCUCCUGAGUGUGCUUUCAUGCAAAGGGCCAGCUACCUGGAUCAAGUACUUAUGCAUUUUUCAUCUGGUCACCUUGGUGCCUGUGACACAGUAGGGAGCAGGGUCAGGGUGGCCCCGUACAGCUCCACACUGCACAAGAGAAUGGGGAGGGGGGUGGGGCACUUCUGUUGACAGUUGAUUUUUUUUUUUUUUUUUAAUACAGCAGUCUGGCUAAAACCCAAGAGAAUUUCACUUGAAUUUCCCAUUCGAUAAUACCUCCUAAGGUUUUGAGGAGGUGAUUACUCCUAGGCCAUUCGAGCUCUGAAACUGUGAGACUUGUACCAUAACGGUGACAGAACUGACUCAGGAAAAGCUUGUCACACGUAAUAUGCUCACUAGCCUCCAGAAGAGAUAAAACUAGAAUUUCUGCAUAGAGUCUCCUCUUGUCAGGUACCAUGUGAAUCAAGGAAUGCUUUCUAAUUGCUAGAGUUCUGUGCAACGUUCCUUUAAAAAGCCAUGGGUCAAGGACUCCCUUCUAGCUACCGGCUAAAAAAGUACCACUAGAAAAAAAAAAAAAGAAAGAAAAAAUAAAAGUACUACUGAGAACAGAAGCAACAAAGAGAACUUUUGGCUUUUAACGUGCACGCUCUAAACCCCACGUGCAAAGGCAGGCCUUCAGCAAAAGUCACUGCCCCUGCCCCCCCAGAUCACCAGUGCCCUCAACCCUGGAUUCUGCACAAGCGGGCAGGCUCACUGACUCUUAGAGAGGUCUGCCAGGAUUCUUGUCUUUCCCAAAUCCAACUACAGUCACUGAAGCUUUUGAAGAGCCAAAAGUCACACAUGUACUUGGUUUUUUUUUGUGGGGGGGGGGUCUGCUUUUUAGGGCCGCACCUGUGGCAUAUGGAGGUUCCCAGGCUAGGGGCUGAAUCCAAGCUGUAGCCCCCAGCCUACACCAAA